rnacentral:piRNA from 1 species
CAGAUGGUUUGUACUGAGAUGUCCUCACC